rnacentral:rRNA from 1 species
AGUGAACGCUGGCGGUAGGCCUAACACAUGCAAGUCGAACGGCAGCACAGUAAGAGCUUGCUCUUACGGGUGGCGAGUGGCGGACGGGUGAGGAAUACAUCGGAAUCUACUUUUUCGUGGGGGAUAAUGUAGGGAAACUUACGCUAAUACCGCAUACGACCUACGGGUGAAAGCAGGGGAUCUUCGGACCUUGCGCGAUUGAAUGAGCCGAUGUUGGAUUAGCUAGUUGGCGGGGUAAAGGCCCACCAAGGCGACGAUCCGUAGCUGGUCUGAGAGGAUGAUCAGCCACACUGGAACUGAGACACGGUCCAGACUCCUACGGGAGGCGGCAGUGGGGAAUAUUGGACAAUGGGCGCAAGCCUGAUCCAGCCAUACCGCGUGGGUGAAGAAGGCCUUCGGGUUGUAAAGCCCUUUUGUUGGGAAAGAAAAGCAGCAGGUUAAUACCCCGCUGUUCUGACGGUACCCAAAGAAUAAGCACCGGCUAACUUCGUG